GACGAACGCUGGCGGCGUGCUUAACACAUGCAAGUCGAACGGAAAGGCCCUGCUUUUGUGGGGUGCUCGAGUGGCGAACGGGUGAGUAACACGGGAGUAACCUGCCCUUGACUUUGGGAUAACUUCAGGAAACUGGGGCUAAUACCGGAUAGGAGCUCCUGCGGCAUGGUGGGGGGUGGAAAGUUUCGGCGGGUGGGGAUGGACUCGCGGCUUAUCAGCUUGUUGGUGGGGUAGUGGCUUACCAAGGCUUUGACGGGUAGCCGGCCUGAGAGGGUGACCGGCCACAUUGGGACUGAUAUACGGCCCAGACUCCUACGGGAGGCAGCAGUGGGGAAUAUUGCACAAUGGGCGGAAGCCUGAUGCAGCAACGCCGCGUGCGGGAUGACGGCCUUCGGGUUGUAAACCGCUUUCGCCUGUGACGAAGCGUGAGUGACGGUAAUGGGUAAAGAAGCACCGGCUAACUACGUG
rnacentral:rRNA from 1 species